rnacentral:rRNA from 1 species
UACAGAGGUCCCGAGCGUUGUUCGGAAUUACUGGGCGUAAAGCGUGCGUAGACGGUUAUUUAAGUCAGGUGUGAAAGCCCCGGGCUCAACCUGGGAAUUGCAUUUGAGACUGAAUAGCUAGGGUGCGGAAGAGGGAAGCGGAAUUUCCGGUGUAGCGGUGAAAUGCGUAGAUAUCGGAAGGAACACCAGUGGCGAAAGCGGCUUCCUGGUCCAGCACCGACGUUCAGGCACGAAAGCGUGGGGAGCAAACAGG